UGUAUUAUUUAAUGCAUAUACACUGACUACAAGCUAAUAGAAUAAAAUUUUAAUUAUAUAUAGUUAUAUAUCAUGUUUUUAAUUUAAAUAUCAUACAUGUAUAUAAUUUUGGAUUCGAAUAUCAUGGAUUCGGAUACGGAUAAUAUCCGCUUUUUCUCAUAUACGAUUGCGAAUUUUUCGGACGGAUAUCGAAUUUUUCACAAUUUUUUUUUUACAGCACUACCUAUAAGUGGCAGGUUCAGGGGUCAAUAUUACAGAACUAUAUGAAAUAACUGUGAAAGAAAUCUACAAAACCUUUUCUGGUUACUCUCUUUGGUUUGGGGCUCAGGGCAGAUACAAUAUCCCUUCCACCCACCUUGUAUAAAGACAUGUUCUUAUUAUCUAUUUUUUGGGUAUAUGAUAUUUUCUUGUUUACUGCUACCAUCUAUAAAGUUCUUCAGUACAUGGCCAGUUCUAGUCUUGUAAAUUUACUCUCUUUGGGUUGGGGCUCAGGUUAGAUACAAUAUCCCUUCGAUCAACCCUCUAUAAAGACAUGUUCUUAUUAUUUUUUUCUUGGGUAUAUGAUGUUUUCUUGUUUCUGCCACCAUCUAUAAAGUUCUUCGGUAUGUGGCCAGUUCUAGUCUUGUUAUGGUGAUUUAUAAUUAAUGAGAUUUCAAAAAAAAUUCGUAUGAACUUUAGCCCUACUAUAGUUCUUGUCCUGUACGGGGAAGCUGCAGGAUCAAAUCUGUCAGUAAACUUAAUGGAUUAACUGAGGAAGAUAUCUACGAUAUCUACACAAGACCUUUUGAGCUACUCUCAUGGGGUUGGGGCUCAGGACAGAUACAAUUUCCUUUCCACCAAUCCUUUAUAAAAUCUAAUAACAUUUUUCUUGAGUAUCUGUUUGCUUGUUUUCUGCUACCAUCUAUAAUUCUAGAUUUAUAUAAUUUUCUCNGUACAUUCAUAAAAUUAGUUUCUACUUCACAUGAAUCACAUAGACUUGAUUAUGUAUGUUAAAUUAUGACAUAAAACCAAUAGAAUAACAUAGAAACAAGUCGUAGAUGGACCUUGCACUUUAAACUUGGUGUAAAGACCUUCAUUUUUAUUUUAAAAUGGAAUGCUUCAAGGUGAAGUGUCUGGUUUUAAAAACAAGAAUCCAACUUAUAUCCCAUACCCCACAUCCAUGUGAUGUCCCAUGUCCGGUGUUCACGGGUGCAAGGACAAAAAUGGUAAGUCCGGGUAACAGAGUGUACAUGUAAAUAAAUAUUACUUUAAAUGGGCCAGGUUUCUCUUGAAUUAGCCACAACUAGGAGUCGUGGACAUAUUAUGCUCAAUUCUGGUUCUUCGGUAUCUUUUGAUAUGAUUACCUCUGCCACAAGCUCAACUCUUAUCGAGUCUUUUAGAAGACUAAGAAGUUACACCCUCUAUCCCAAAUUUGAUUUCGCUUUGACUUUUUGCACGCGCUUUAAGGUGCAUAAAAAACAUAGCUCUAUGACUUGUUUUCCAAAUAUUAUUCUUUUGAAUAAUAAUAUAAUAUUCGAAUUUUUGUGCACAAAAAAAGAAUAAAAAAAGUAAGUUGUAGAGCUAUCUUUUAUAUUCACUCUAAAAUACGUGUGAAAGUCAAAGUUAUACCUAAUUUGGGAUGUGUACCAGUUGGAGCAUCUUGAAAAUUAUAAAAGCAAAGUCUAGGCGGCAAUGCCGUGAACAGAAAAUGUAGAUGAUAUGUAAAAAAGAUGGGCACUCUCGAAUGGAUCAUUCCUCUUAGCAAAAAAAUAUAGCCAACCAUUUCAUACUGGUUAUAUUUGGCCAACCUCUAGAUAUUUGUAGCAAGAUUUCACAUCAUCUAUUACCAUAUUAAAACAAUAUAUUCUUUGAAAUAAUAAUAACACGCCAUUUUUAAAAUAUAGCCAAUCAAGAUAAUCAAUCUCAUCGGAGCGAGUGGCUUUAUGUGUAUAUAUCUAUUGACGGUUGUGAUUGUAUUGGACUAUUAGUGUUGGAUUUAUUGAAUAGGCUGAUUAGUUUUCAAUUUAAUGUACGGGUUGGAUCUAGUAAAACUUGGGGUGUUGGCCCCUUAAGGCACAAUUUCUAGAAAAAUGCCCAGAAAAGCACAAUCUGAAAAACUGGCCUUUCUUGACACAGGAAAACACAUAUUACAUUAACGUUUGUUGCAAAUAAAUUAUAAUAAUUCGUUACCUUGCUUUUUUGUUCGUAAACUGUGCUUAUGAGAACGUGACAUGAACUUGCGUUGACUUCAACGCAUGUAAUAAAUGCGUUAUUCAGCAACAUUCUUCAUGCAUGUGAUGCACUAAAAGCAGUCAUGUCCUCUGUUGAAAUCCGUGUCUAGUUCAUAGGAUAGAUCCCAUGUGUUGCUGCCAUCAUUUCCAACUUCUUAUCACCCAACUUAAAUGAUUUGUUGUACUGCAACAAUAACGCAAAUGAAAUCUACGUUUAUAAGUUACAAAUGUAGGCACUGUUUUUGUUUGUGCCCUUCUGGGCCUUUUUCUUUAAUCCAGUGCUCUUACGGGCCUUUUCUCUAAAAAUGGAGGUUUAUGACGCAAAAAAGGAGAUAUACAACAGGAUGAUGGUGUAGCUAUGUGAUUGUAGUAUAACAUUACAAAUCUGUAUUAUAAUAUUCACUUACUAAUGUUUAUGACUCCCUACAAAUACAACUAUAUUGUCCUUAUUUUUGUAUCAAUGCUAAUCAAGAAUCCUUGAGAAAUUAUGAGCCCGUCAUUGUUAUUUUUCUUCGACUAUUUAGUAAAGAGAAAUUGACUUCCUCGACUUGUGCAAACUCUUGAUUCUUCCGUGUUGACACCUGAACACCUGAUUAGUUUUCUUUUGAUUUAUUCUUCAGGUAUCUGUGCUCUAUUCAGGUCUAUAUCUUACUGUUUAAGACUGAUUGUAAUAUUGUAUAAAUAUUAUCUUCAACUUUAUAGCGCUCUCGGUCUGGUUCUUCACAUUCUCAGCCAGCUGCAGUAGCACAAACAAAACCAGGGGACUGGGAUAUAGAUGUAAGAGCACUGAUGAUUAAUGAGAAAAUUGCGACGGGAUCUUGUGCAGAUUUGUGAGUGAGGCUUUUUUUUCUGAAUCGGAAAUAUAUGUUGUUUCCCGUGAUUACACAUAUAUCUGCUGACCAUAAUUCUGGCGUACAUGAUAGGUUUCGGGGAACCUACUGUGGUCAGGAUGUUGCUGUAAAGGUACUCAGAUCUGAGCACUUGAAUAAAACAUUGGAAGAUGAAUUUGCUCAUGAAGUCAAUAUCUUAAGGUAAGUAAAUUUUCAGUGAGAACAAAAUAUAUCUUUGGAGUUAAAGAUCUCUUACCUUCAUUAAUUCCGAAAGAAUGUAUUGUCAGACAACAUGUUAUAACAGUCAAGAAAAUAUUUUUUAAGUUUUGUUCGUAGCUUCCUGCCUGACUCCUGGCAGGUAAAUUAAAUUGGCUUGAACUCCUAUUUGUGGUCACUAGUAAUAAGUUUUUCUCUCCAUAUGCAUGGACAGUUCUGCAACAGAUGACCACUGUAAUAGUGAGUUUUGAACUUUUUAUUGAUGAGAUUCUAAAAUAUUAUCUAAUGAACUUAGCUGUGGUGUUAUAGUUCUUGUCCUGUAAAGGGCUGUCAAACGGAUAAUUCGGAUCCGUAUCCGUAUCCGCAAUUGUUGGAUUCAGAUACGGAUAAUAUCCCCUUUACUUCAGAUACGGAUAAUAUCCGGUUUUUCUCGGAUACGAAUGCGGAUAUUUUGGACGGAUGUCGGAUUUUUUUAUAUAUAUAUAUAUAUGUAUAUAGUAUAUGUACAAUUAUAUAAAAUUUGUAUAAAUGUAUUAUUUAAUGCAUAUACACUGACUACAAGCUAAUAGAAUAAAAUUUUAAUUAUAUAUAGUUAUAUAUCAUGUUUUUAAUUUAAAUAUCAUACAUGUAUAUAAUUUUGGAUUCGAAUAUCAUGGAUUCGGAUACGGAUAAUAUCCGCUUUUUCUCAUAUACGAUUGCGAAUUUUUCGGACGGAUAUCGAAUUUUUCACAAUUUUUUUUUUACAGCACUACCUAUAAGUGGCAGGUUCAGGGGUCAAUAUUACAGAACUAUAUGAAAUAACUGUGAAAGAAAUCUACAAAACCUUUUCUGGUUACUCUCUUUGGUUUGGGGCUCAGGGCAGAUACAAUAUCCCUUCCACCCACCUUGUAUAAAGACAUGUUCUUAUUAUCUAUUUUUUGGGUAUAUGAUAUUUUCUUGUUUACUGCUACCAUCUAUAAAGUUCUUCAGUACAUGGCCAGUUCUAGUCUUGUAAAUUUACUCUCUUUGGGUUGGGGCUCAGGUUAGAUACAAUAUCCCUUCGAUCAACCCUCUAUAAAGACAUGUUCUUAUUAUUUUUUUCUUGGGUAUAUGAUGUUUUCUUGUUUCUGCCACCAUCUAUAAAGUUCUUCGGUAUGUGGCCAGUUCUAGUCUUGUUAUGGUGAUUUAUAAUUAAUGAGAUUUCAAAAAAAAUUCGUAUGAACUUUAGCCCUACUAUAGUUCUUGUCCUGUACGGGGAAGCUGCAGGAUCAAAUCUGUCAGUAAACUUAAUGGAUUAACUGAGGAAGAUAUCUACGAUAUCUACACAAGACCUUUUGAGCUACUCUCAUGGGGUUGGGGCUCAGGACAGAUACAAUUUCCUUUCCACCAAUCCUUUAUAAAAUCUAAUAACAUUUUUCUUGAGUAUCUGUUUGCUUGUUUUCUGCUACCAUCUAUAAUUCUAGAUUUAUAUAAUUUUCUCUAAAACACGACCAGCUGCUAAGCAUAAAGAAAAGGCUAAGGUUACUUUCCUAACUUAUAUUGUUCUAUGAUUUUCUGAGUAUCCAUUUAGAGUAAAUACCAAAAUAUAAUAGACUUUUGCUUAUGCAGUAGUAUCUCCUUUCAUGCUUAUUAAGUGAUGCACCUACUCAUGGAUGUCCAUCAGCUAUAGCUACUGUUGUAAAUCUGUAUUAAGUUUUGUUCUUAUAUCACUAAGAAUUUGGGGGAGUUAGAUUCACUUCCGAAUGAUCCUCUCUUUAUGCCCAAAAUUGGCUCUGGAAUGAGAGAAGUACUAAAAAUAUGUGAUCUGAGUUGUCAAAGAAGUAAGAAGAAAUAAUUUGUUUUUUACACUUCGCUUCUCCUGGCACCUGUAGGCUUAGGUGUUAGGUGAGCAGUCAUCCUAACUUAUAAGCUGGUCAGCCUUGCUUCAAUCUUAACUUAUAGCUUUCAAUCUGUUGAUUACCAAUUAAUAAUUUAUUGACUAUGAUCCUAUAGAACUCUAGCAUUCUACAUGACUGUUCUGAAAGUCAACUAAUUAAGCAGUAUUCUUGUAGUUCAAUACUAUAAUAUGAUUUUAUUGCAGGGAGGUUCAACACAGGAAUGUUGUUCGUUUUAUUGGUUCAUGUACGAAAUCUCCUAAUUUGUGCAUAGUAACAGGUAUGGGCUUCUGAAAGAGAAGCUUUAUUAUUUGCUCUGCACACACACACUUGACCUUUUAGCUUCUUUAUGAAGAUUACAAGGAUCACAAUUUUGUUUAAAAAGUUGAUCUAAGCUCAUGGCAUAUAUACACAUUCACUAUCUUCUCUAUUUCUUUCCUCUUAUAUUAUAUGCUACUUAUGUCUUGUCAUGUAGGCAACUACUUCACUUAGUUAACAAAUUUAGUUGAACUCUUAUUGAUCAACAAAUGUAAUGUAGAUCAAAUUAAACAUACAGCUUCAGAGAGCCAUAAGUGUAUACUCUCAUUUGGACAGACUAACAGCAAAUGAUAAAUAAUAGAUGGUGAUACCGAAAGAUCUGGAAAGAAAACUUAUUAUACAUCUUAUUUGCCUGGUCCUUUAAGUGAGCUUUCAUGGUCCUAUAUGGAAAACAGAAUGAGCUGGAAACAGCUUGAGUAAAUUGUAUUACUGAAAUGAAAAUGUACAAGAGUUUAUAUACAGCAGCAAGCUUAACUAACAACUAACUAACUAGCUAUUUACACAUCUACCCUUAACUAUAUCAAUAUGUACAACUCUACCCUUGUCCUCUAACACUAAAUACUUUAACACUAUAACUGGCUUGUAAUAAGAAAUUUUACCUAUCUAAUUGGCGCUUCUCCUCACUUGCAAGACCAGACAAACAGGCCUGUACGUAUUGCCAAAUAUUCCAGUGAAGAUCAUUUUGGGGUUCAUCGUUUUCUUCAGGCUCUCGUUCACAAAGAAAUAGUGAACUGAAGGAUAUGUUAGAUAUUAUUUACCAAUCAGAAAUGUUAAACUGGGAUGACUCUACUGAAGUCUGAACCAUGUGAUGCUUUCUUGUAUACAAUUUUUGACCUCUCUCUUCUCAAAAAAGGGUCGAACGCCACUUGUAUAUAUUAGGAGUGUGUAUUACAUGAGAUACUGCAGUUGUAUACUCUUCUUUCUCUUUAGCCUAUAGGGUGACUUUGUAGAAUGUAGAUGCUUCUACUUAUGUGCUCAUGUUCAAUGUUGCCUGUGGGAUGAUCUUGUAAAUAUUUUUUACCUGUGGGCCGAUUGAUGUGUUGUCAAAGUUGAGAUGGAAGGAAAAAGAGGGGGCUGUAAGAGUCUUGUUGGAGUAGAAUAAAUGCGAGGAUCUCCUAAAGUAGUAUUUGGAGAAAAUUGAUGUAUCACAGGUCAAACAGGCUGUAGCAGUUACUGUUUCUUACCCUUUUAUUCAAAUAAUCACGGUUGCUCUACACUUACUUUUAUAAUGUUAAUAUUCCUCUAUUUUUUUCAUUUAUCGUUGCAUAUUUUGUCUUUUAACAUUUUGGAAGCUUUAUCGUUAUUUUCCUGUAAGUUUCUGUUAUGUUGCCUUGUACUCUAUGGUUGUAUUUAUAUACAUCGAGUUUAGUUGACUUUGAUUGUCACUCUUGUCUCAGGGUGGAAAAACUACCAGUUGAUGCUUGUUUCUGUUUGUGCUUGCAUGUUUCUUUGCAUUUGCAAGUGUCAUCUCACUU
rnacentral:lncRNA from 1 species